UACGUAGGGUGCGAGCGUUGUCCGGAAUUAUUGGGCGUAAAGAGCUCGUAGGCGGUCUGUCGCGUCUGCUGUGAAAACCCCGAGGCUCAACCUCGGGCUUGCAGUGGGUACGGGCAGACUAGAGUGCGGUAGGGGAGAAUGGAAUUCCUGGUGUAGCGGUGGAAUGCGCAGAUAUCAGGAGGAACACCGGUGGCGAAGGCGGGUCUCUGGGCAGUAACUGACGCUGAGGAGCGAAAGCGUGGGGAGCGAACAGG
rnacentral:rRNA from 1 species